AACUCAGUUACCAAUACAGUUUUGAUACAUGAUUGAAUUCUUUAAGCUGUAGAUUUUAGCUGCAUGUUUUAGUAUAUUACAGAAUAUAUAAAGUUCUUGUUAAUGUAUCUGUUGACAGAAACAACACAUGAAUCAUUACAUACGUGUAGGAAGGCUUUGUGUAUGUUUUACUUCUUUGGGUUUCAUGUUACAGAAGUUCACAAUGUAAACUUCACAUUUUCAUGCUAAGAUUGUUUAGAGCCUAGUGCCAGAUGCAUUCAUUUUCUUGGGAUUAAUUUAGAGACUUCAGGUGCCAGUUGAAUAAUUUAUGAACCUCAGAAGCUAUCCAGGUGCUUCUAGAAGCUUAGGUGCUGCAUGCUUCUUGUGUUAAUGUAGGUUCACUUGUUGUACUGUGCUUCUAGUACAGUGUUGGAAAGUUUUUAUUACACUCCUUGGAAGUUAUUUGAGAUUAGCUAGGUAACCUGUGUAAAGUCAGAUAGCUUGACUGGAAAUUAGGAUCCUGGGAGGUUUAGGAUAUUGCUGUGUCCUGUAGGAAAUUUUACUGUAGGGGUGAUUACCUACCAUUGGGGAAUUUGUGUUGGAUGUCUCACCGUAGUCGUUCUUACAGCGUUUGUGGACAUCUUUUCUGGGUUGGGGGCACAUGAGGCUUGGGUAGGUUUAUGGUCAGUUAAGUAUCAGGUGAUCUGUACAAAGUAAUUACCCAUAGAACGAAUAUGGGUUGAUUUGAUUUAACAAUUCUGAGCAAAUGCUGUCUUUAAUAGUUCUAGGAAGGGUAUUAGAUAAAUGAUGUGACAAUAUAAGUUACCUUAAUUUUGUAGGAAUUUAUAUUGAAAAUAUUUUUGGCUUGUUAACAGAGGAAAGUUAGAACAAGUAAAGUUCAUUCUGAAAUAUGACAAUUUAAAUCUGAAUGUCAUUUUUUAGUCUGAUAUUUACUGCACUGAUUGUGUGCCGCCUCUGCUGUAGUUACUGGUACACAGAAAGUUCCAGUUUGUAAUGAAAAUAUUCAUAUAUACCAGAAAUGAGUUCCUGCCAGCUGCUAAAUUAGCCUUCACUUCUUCAUCCUGAUUACCUCUCUAGUUAAUUAAAGUUUCUUAGACUAGCAGCACUGCCAAAGAAAACCCUUUAUUGAAAAUAUUAAAGUUUAGUUUGUCAGUGGUGAUGCAUACAGAGACAAGUGCAUUUCUCCUUGAAUUGUAGGAAGGCCAUCCAGUGCUACAGAGUAAGUUCCAGAGCAGUGAGGGCUACCCAAAGAAAUCCUGUCC
rnacentral:lncRNA from 1 species